UAUAGUUAUUUGGUCAUCACCUACUGCAUCCAUGAAAAUCAUCAACUAUCCAACAAAAAAAAAAUCUUUAGGAAAAGAGAGAACAAGGCAUAAAGAUUCUUCAACGUGUAAAUUCACAGUCUACGUACUGCAUAUGAAAAGUAAUGAUUCAUAUGAUGGAGUUGACAUCUGACUAGAUUCUACAAUGAUUUGGGAUCUCUACCUUCACUGAGUAGUGUCAAGAUAGACACGCUAUACCCUCCCCAGACCCCACUUCUGAAAUUU